AGUGAACACACACACACACACACAAGGCAGUACUACGGGUGAAUGAAUGAGAUGCAAUGGCGCUCACCAUUUAUUAAAUAAUAACACACUUGUAAAUGACUUUGACAGAGAGCGAAUGUAUCCUAGUCAACAAUCUCCCUUCCGACCUGUGAGGGUGCUGUAUAACAGGAACAGCGUGCCCCGGACUGGCUGGUUUGGCAGUUCAUUCCAGGGUCAGCCAGAAGUCGGCCAUCCAGAAAAGGGGCGGAGUCACAGUACCAGAAGUCAUCGCUUUAAUGCGGUAGGCAAUGUGUCAGUCAUGGAUUGGAGGAUACGUGAUUGCACUCGCUACCAAAGUGGGCGGGACUGAAGGUAUAUAUGGUUACGAAAUGACCGGGAGGAAUAAAAAUAAACCGUGAGUGUUUAAUGUUAUCUUGUCUGUCGCUGUUAAGCCAGCAUCAAACCCAGACUGCACUGCACCACUGUUAUCACUGUUUCAUGUAUUCACAACACCACUUGCACCCGGAGCACUCACUGUUGGACUGGUGAUCGUGUAGGUGUUUUAAAGUGUGAUAUUUUUAUUAUUAUUAUUUCGGGACUGAACCCCGUGGUUUUGACUGGCUUUAUACAUCGCUGUGUAUAGCCAGUAUUAUUAUUUAAGCAAAUAAUAAAGCUUUGUUUUUCACCAUUGAACUGUUGUUGGAUUGUUAUUGCUGAGCACUGCAUCACCUCUACAGCUGCACACUGCAAGCCACUUUGCCACAAUGACAAACAAAACAAAAUGGCACGAUGUCCAAAAUAAAUAAACAUGGAACACAGGAAGUGAUGUACGUGACCUGCGACAAUUAAGCUUUUUAACGAGACAUGUGUUCAUUAAUAAACCUCAUCGACUCAAUUUCAAAGCAUUAUCGGAUUGAUUUGAUGAACAGCUGUCACGGGUGGGGUGACCUGAGAUAACCUUGACGAUAAUACCUAUGUAGCUGACAACUACGCCACCUUGUUUUUAAUAGUCACUUCCCUUCAGCCAGUCUUUCACUUCGCGUUUCUCUCCUCUCUCCCACGUUCCUACCACGCCCUCGGACCUCGCCCGAUCCUCUGUGUACUGCCACCACGCCCGACCUGGAAGCUGGACUGGAAAACCUGGAGGGAAGCGCUGAUAGAAUUCAAAAUAUAAUCCCUCUCCCAGAUCUGUGGGGAGAAAAGCCCAGGUGUCCAAAAGCUGGGACACCAACCAAUAACCCGUAUCUUGUUCCAGAAACAGUGCAAUAACAAAAGCGAGUGAACAAAAGAAAACAGAAAAAAGUGUCCAAAUUAAAUCAACAAUAAAGUAACAAAAAAAAAACA